rnacentral:lncRNA from 10 species
AGAACAUAGCGACUGGAAGAAGUAUCUCGAUGGAGCCCAAAAAGCUGAGUUACAGAGACUGAAAGCAAAGGUAGUUACACAUCUCCAUUGGAUUGUUACACAUCUCAUUCCAUCAGAUGGGUGUGGGGAGGUGAAUGACAAGAAGAUGGUGCAAAAAGGAAUUUAAGAAAUAAAAAUCCAUGAAAACAGACAUAAGGGAAAGAUUCAGCAUGGUCUCUACAAUAAUCAUCACUUUAUAUUCAUCAUGGCAUUGCCAGUAUUUAUGAAUAUGGACAUGUUUGAAUGCAGUUAUUAACAGGGAAUGUAUACUAUUUGUCUUCAACUUUAAAAUUUUGACAGCUGGCAGGCGCGGUGGCUCACGCCUGUAAUCCCAGCACUUUGGGAGGCCGAGGCGGGAGGAUCACGAGGUCAGGAGAUCGAGACCAUCCUGGCUAACAUGGUGAAACCCCGUCUCUACUAAAAAUGCAAAAAAUUAGCUGGGCGUGGUGGUGGGCGCCUGUAGUCCCAGCUACUCCGGAGGCUGAGGCAGGAGAAUGGCGUGAACCCAGGAGGCGGAGCUUGCAGUGAGCCCAGACAGCGCCGCUGCACUCCCGCCUGGGCGAAAGAGCAAGACUCCAUCUCAAAAAAAAAAAAGAAAAUUUUUUUGACAGCUUAUUUUGUUUAUUACCACUUUUUAAUAUGUUUCAUAAUUAGUACUUCAAG